CUUAGAGGGCCUCAGAUGGAUUUCUUCUGAAGGAGAUUCAAACAACCAGCGUUUGACAGACAUUGAAGUAUAUAAAUGAAGCUAGGAGCAGGUUACUCGGCUACAGCCUGGGAGGCAGGGGGGGGGGGAUAUGCGUGUUGUGUUGCCAGACCCUCGCUCUUGACUUUUUCUUUCUUUCUUUCCCUCUCUCUCUUUUUAAUGCGACAGUUUGUGCGCUUUGGGACACAGGUGAUAGUUUCUCCACAAGCUGAUUGGAUGGUAUUACUGGAUUUCAGUGAGAGGCGUCAUCUUUCUCUAGUUCCUCAUGCUUCUGCGAGGGUCGGUCUUAGAGUUCUGGCUUUGACUGGAUGGAAAGAAGUUGCUCCAGUGGUAUGUAUGUAUGUAUGUAUGUAUGUAUGUAUGUAUUGUGUGUGGGUAUGUAUGUAUGUAUGUGUGUAUGUAUCUAUGUAUUGUGUGUGGGUAUAUAUGUGUGUUCAUAUUGUCAGUGUUCAAGAGAGGACAUUGGAUUUCAUAGUUUGAGUCCCUCUGAUUCUGUUGCUUAGUAUCUGUCUAAAGCAGGAGUGGGCGGUGUUAGCUAACAGCUUAUUUCAUUUACAAAAAUUAAGUAGAAGCCCUCCAUAUUAAGCAGUGCAUUGAAGACAUUUCCCUAAAUCUCCCAGGGGCCUGGAACUUCAGUCUUCCUGAAAAAAUGUUGCAAGCAACUAUUUCUGUCUUAAUAAGUCAAGUGUGAUAUGUAUAUGUUUCUUAAUAAUUCAGAUUCUUGUGUUUUUUUGAGUGAAAGUGUCUUUAGUCAAAUUUAGGCUGGCCCUGUGAGAGGGUUUACACACUUUCUGUAAGCGCACGCAGAGCAGGCCCUCGUUAUGUUUCUGCCACAUCGAGUGGCUGGAGCCUGCCAGCUUAUUAUGGGUUGCUCACAGGAAGCCUGAACCCCUUUGACACUCACCGCUCGAUGACAGAUCCUCCCGGAGGACUCGACAGCUGCAAACAAAUGCAUUGUUCUUCUUGUCAACCCGCCGCUGAAAGGUGAUCCGGAGCUGUGCAGCGAUUGGCCUCAUUUGUGAGUGUUAGCAAGCGCGGGGCUGAAAGCUUGUUACCCUAGAAAGGGAAAGCUGAGAACAAGUUCUUCAAAUCAGGCUAAAGCAUCAGGGAGCUGUCAGCGGGGCUCCGAGGGGAGGAAGGCCCUGCCCCCAGCUGGGGAUCAAGCUCUUGUUCCACCCUACCUCGCCCCAGCUCAUCUCUGGAAAGCAAGAGUCACAAAGGUGUGCUGGGUGAGGAACCGGCAUCUCAGCUGGCUUCCAUCUAAGCACUGAAUCACAGUGGAGGGAGAAGGCCUGUUCAGGAGUUCUUUAAUCACGCACCCUUAUGGAAGAACAGAUACGGCCAUUAAGGAGGUUACUGUGACCAGGUGAAGUGCUGUUUGAAAAGAGAACAAGGACACAUCCACGCACAGAGGAAAGGCCACAUGGCCAUGCAAAGCGAAGAUGACUGUCACCAAGCCAAGGAAAGGGGCCUCCGCGGAAACCUAAUGACAUGUUGGUCUUGGGCUUCCGGCCUCCAGGACUGUAAGAAAAGUGAAUCUCAGUGGCUUUCCCUUCCCUAGGGCUCAGCA
rnacentral:lncRNA from 1 species